CUACUUCUCUGAGCCUCAGUCUCACCUUUGGUAAAGAGAGGAUCGAGAAUGCCUAUCUCACCUGGAGGUUGGUUCCCAUCUUUUGCUGUAACAGCCAGCACUGCAUUGAAUAUCAUGCUCAGCUCUGUCUGGAGUGAAAUGUGGGGCCCAGGAGGAAAUGGAAAUGGAUCCGCUAAGCAACACUUGGAGAAACAGACGACUCUGCUGAGACCCCACCUGGAAGGCUGUGCUCAGCUCUGAGCACCUAA